UACGUAGGGUGCAAGCGUUGUCCGGAAUUAUUGGGCGUAAAGAGCUCGUAGGCGGUCUGUCGCGUCUGCUGUGAAACUCAGGGCUUAACCCUGAGCUUGCAGUGGGUACGGGCAGACUAGAGUGCGGUAGGGGAGACUGGAAUUCCUGGUGUAGCGGUGAAAUGCGCAGAUAUCAGGAGGAACACCGGUGGCGAAGGCGGAUCUCUGGGCCGUAACUGGACGCUGGAGGAGCGAAAGCAUGGGGAGCGAACAGG
rnacentral:rRNA from 1 species